UAUUUUUAUAAAUAUAUAUAUAAUAUUUUUAUUAUUUAAUGUAAUACUAUAAAAUUUUAUAGAAUAUAU
rnacentral:tRNA from 1 species